rnacentral:rRNA from 1 species
UUCCGGUUGAUCCUGCCGGAGGACAUUGCUAUUGGGAUUCGAUUUAGCCAUGCUAGUCGAGCGAGUUUAGACUCGCGGCGCAUAGCUCAGUAACACGUGGCCAAGCUACCCUUCAGUCGGCGAUACCCUCGGGAAACUGAGGUCAACAGCCGAUACGGAACGGCUGCUGGAAUGCAGCGUUCUUCAAAGAUUACGCUGAAGGAUGCGGCUGCGGCCGAUUAGGUAGACGGUGGGGUAACGGCCCACCGUGCCAGUAAUCGGUACGGGUGAUGAGAGUCAGAGCCCGGAGACGGAAUCUGAGACAAGAUUCCGGGCCCUACGGGGCGCAGCAGGCGCGAAACCUUUACACUGCACGGAAGUGCGAUAGGGGAAUCCCAAGUGCGAGGGCAUAUUAGCCCUCGCUUUUGUUGACCGUAAGGAGGUCAACGAAUAAGAGCUGGGCAAGACCGGUGCCAGCCGCCGCGGU